rnacentral:rRNA from 1 species
CCCUUAGACGUUCUGGGCCGCACGCGCGCUACACUGACCAGUGCAACAAGCAUCCGUCCUUGGCCGACAGGCCCGGGCAAUCUUUGAACGCUGGUCGUGAUGGGGAUAGACCUUUGCAAUUUUUGGUCUUCAACGAGGAAUUCCUAGUAAACGCAAGUCAUCAACUUGCAUUGAUUACGUCCCUGCCCUUUGUACACACCGCCCGUCGCACCUACCGAUUGAAUGGUCCGGUGAAGCCUCCGGAUUGGCGCGCACCUCGGUGCCGCCGAGAAGUUGGCUAAACCUUACCAUUUAGAGGAAGGUGAAGUCGUAACA